rnacentral:lncRNA from 1 species
AUUGAGAUGAUGAUUAUUUCCCCAGAUGAUCGAAGUUGAUUAUACUGAGCGCAUUAUUAUAGUUCCCUUUAAUAGGGAAUUCCAAGCCAGAAAUCUGAUCCUCUUUUUUGUAUAAUUGUUUUAUGAUUUUUUUAUUGUUUUUCUGUGAAUGUGAAUGCCUCUGAUGAUGAUUCAAAUAAAACUUUCGUUCUUCUGAAUAUCCUUGUGGAAACGAUUAUUGGAGACCUGAACUGAAGAGGC